GCCCGUCUAGCUCACCGGUAGAGCGCCUCACUAGUAUCACUUCCAAGCAGCUAAACUCUUAAGGAGUUAUGUCUUCAUAGAAGCAAUACACGGUAAUGAGGAGGCAACAGGUUCGACUCCUGUGAUGGGCA